AGCGAACGCUGGCGGCGUGCUUAACACAUGCAAGUCGAGCGGUAAGGCCCUUUCGGGGGUACACGAGCGGCGAACGGGUGAGUAACACGUGGGUGACCUGCCCUUAGCUCUGGGAUAAGCCUGGGAAACUGGGUCUAAUACCGGAUAUGACUCCAUGACGCAUGUUGUGGGGUGGAAAGCCUUGUGCGGCUGGGGAUGGGCCCGCGGCCUAUCAGCUUGUUGGUGGGUGAUGGCCUACCAAGGCGA
rnacentral:rRNA from 1 species